GGGGAAUAUUGCGCAAUGGGGGAAACCCUGACGCAGCGACGCCGCGUGAAGGAAGAAGGUCUUCGGAUCGUAAACUUCUUUGAUUAGGGAAGAAGAUAUGACAGUACCUAAAGAACAAGCCACGGCUAACUACGUGCCAGCAGCCGCGGUAACACGUAGGUGGCGAGCGUUGUCCGGAAUUACUGGGUGUAAAGGGCGUGUAGGCGGGGCAGCAAGUCAGAUGUGAAAUACCGGGGCUCAACCCCGGGGCUGCAUUUGAAACUGCAGUUCUUGAGUGCAGGAGAGGGAAGCGGAAUUCCUAGUGUAGCGGUGAAAUGCGUAGAUAUUAGGAGGAACACCAGUGGCGAAGGCGGCUUCCUGGACUGUAACUGACGCUGAGGCGCGAAAGCGUGGGUAGCGAAC
rnacentral:rRNA from 1 species